rnacentral:lncRNA from 1 species
CUUCUCUGUGGGGUUCUGAAGCCUGGCUGGCGCUGACAGUUGCCUUGCUUCUUUCUUUUCUUUCCCCAUCUCUUUUUUAUUUUAUUUUAUUUUAUUUUAUUUAUUUUUAAGGUACAGCUGUUGAGAGGCCUGCUGGGGUCUCACUGAAAGUAAAGCAAGGGGAGAGGCCUGAGAGCUUUCCAUGACUGGAGAAAAAUCCAAAAGACCAAAGACUUCAUAUCUAAAAGGAAGCAAAGACUAUGCCAAGAAGAAAGUCAACUACAGAUGGAGAAGAGGAACAUACAGAACACUCUCAUGCUGGACUCUGGUGCCAAGCAAACCACCCAGAUUCUUUUCUAUGAAAACAGGAGAAACAACUUACCUUCAUAGAAAACUGGACACAUGUCCUCUCGUCAACUUGGUAUGAGACACAAAGCAUGAACAGUCCAAGUUGUUGACAGAGUUGCUAUACAGGGUUGUUGGGGGAUACAACCUUCUCCUGCCAAAUACCAUUCAUUAUUCCCCCUGCCUCCUCAGCCCCAUCGAUCACUUGUGAACUGGAAACGUGACACUAUUUCUGUAAGUAUUGGAUGCAAAAUGCUUUCAUCCGAUCAAUAUUGUAACAAGAGGAACUUAACCUCUGUCUACGGUCAUGAAGUCAAUGGACCACCCACAGGACCAGAGGCACUGAUUUUCCCUGCAUUUUCUUGAAGAAAAUCUCUACAGAUGGUGACCCGCAUCUGAUGAUUUAAGAUAAACUCUUCGGAGUCAUUUUCAACAACUGAUAAAUGUACUGUAGUCUAUCAGUGUGAUGUGGUCUUACUCAAGAGAACUGUUAGCAUAUACUGUGCCAGAAUAAUAAAUAAUAAGAAA